rnacentral:rRNA from 1 species
GACGAACGCUGGCGGCGUGCUUAACACAUGCAAGUCGAACGGAAAGGCCCUGCUUUUGUGGGGUGCUCGAGUGGCGAACGGGUGAGUAACACGUGAGUAACCUGCCCUUGACUUUGUGAUAACUUCAGGAAACUGGGGCUAAUACCGGAUAGGAGCUCCUGCUGCAUGGUGUGGGUUGGAAAGUUUCGGCGGUUGGGGAUGGACUCGCGGCUUAUCAGCUUGUUGGUGGGGUAGUGGCUUACCAAGGCUUUGACGGGUAGCCGGCCUGAGAGGGUGACCGGCCACAUUGGGACUGAGAUACGGCCCAGACUCCUACGGGAGGCAGCAGUGGGGAAUAUUGCACAAUGGGCGGAAGCCUGAUGCAGCAACGCCGCGUGCGGGAUGACGGCCUUCGGGUUGUAAACCGCUUUCGCCUGUGACGAAGCGUGAGUGACGGUAAUGGGUAAAGAAGCACCGGCUAACUACGUG